rnacentral:rRNA from 1 species
GACCCGUCUUGAACCACGAAGUCUAACGUGUGCGCGAGUCAUUGGGUGAAAAACCUAAAGGCGUAAUGAAAGUAAAGGGGACUCUGUCCCUUAGGGAAGAUGGGAGAAGUACCUUCGAAGUUGCUCCCCGYAUUCCCGGGGCGUCUCUUUCUCAUUGCGAGUGGAGGCGCACCUAGAGCGCACACGUUGGGACCCGAAAGAUGGUGAACUAUGCCUGGCCAGGACGAAGCCAGGGGAAACCCUGGUGGAGGUCCGCAGCGAUUCUGACGUGCAAAUCGAUCGUCAGAGCUGGGUAUAGGGGCGAAAGACUAAUCGAACACUUAGUAGCUGGUUCCUUCCGA